rnacentral:lncRNA from 1 species
UAUUCUUGUUGCAUUUUUUUUCCACAACUUGUUAAUAGUCUCUUUUCCUCUUUUAGGACUAGACUAAUACUCUGAAAUGAGGAAAGGAAGAGACUGUGACAUAAGAAACUUACUUCCUGGAGGGAAGAGGAACUUCAGUGACCUGGUAUUGCAUGGAAGAGCUGCUAUGUACUGAGUACUUUCCUCAAGUCAAAUACAAGAGAAGCACUCAAAAAGCUUGGAAUUUGUUUCUUGGAGAUUGGGACUACAGAGAGUGAAAGAAGUCCAAAGAAGUACAAAGGCAACAGUAUGGAGAGAGUGAAGAUCUUGGACUUCCCAGGGCCAAAAACAUGAACCAAAAUUGGUCAGAAUUAUAAGAAGAAAUGGGUACAUCCAUAGAUGGACUUCCUGUUCUGAUUGGAGGCUGCAUUCUUUUGAGAUGCCGUAUAGGAGAGAACACAAUCUUGGCCCUGAGAGAUGGUAUGAGGUAGGUGUAAAGCAUAUACAGGCCUCAAAAUCAGGUAGACUCAGAUUUGUAUUCU